UUCUGGUUGAUCUUGGCGGAGGCUACUGCUAUUGGGAUUCGAUUAAGCCAUGCAAGUUGAAUGAUUUUAGAUUCAGGGCGUACGGCUCAGUACCACGUGAUAACUCCCCUACUAGGAACUGGAAUACACUUCUGGGACUGUGGGAAUAUACGGAAUUAUUAGGCUAUGCCUGGAAUGGUUUGCCUUUGAAAUGUUUUUUCGCCUAAGGAUAGAUCUGCGGCUGAUUANGUCGUUGGUGGGGUAAUGGCCCNACCAGCCGAUGAUCGGUACGGGUUGUGANGAGCAGAGCCCGGAGAUGGAACCUGAGACAGGNUCCAGACCCUACGGGGUGCAGCAGGCGCGGAACCUCCGCA
rnacentral:rRNA from 1 species